CAACCGGCUUUUUUCAAAGCCACUCAUAAUACAAAAGAUCUUAGU
rfam:Amphimedon queenslandica AMPQTscaffold_13415_Cont3038, whole genome shotgun sequence.